rnacentral:rRNA from 1 species
GUCCACGCUGUAAACGAUGAGCACUCGAUGUGCGAGGUAUCCACUCCUCGCGUGUCACAGCUAACGCAUUAAGUGCUCCGCCUGGGGGACUACGGUCGCAAGACUAAAACUCAAAGGAAUUGACGGGGGCCCGCACAAGCGGUGGAGGAUGUGGUUUAAUUUCGACGCAACGCGAAGAACCUUACCUGGGCUUGACAUCCCGCGACCGCCUCAGAGAUGGGGUUUUCCUUUCGGGACGCGGAGACAGGUGCUGCAUGGCUGUCGU